UCAAGCAUUGCUGUGGAAAUGGUUUCUUCUCUCUCUGAAUCAGUGAAACCCUAUUACACACUGUUUCCAUUGUGCAGCUUCUUAAAGCGUGGGCCCCACUCAUUGAGGAAGUCAU